rfam:Lupinus angustifolius cultivar Tanjil contig_10725, whole genome shotgun sequence.
AUACCUUUCUCGGCCUUUUGGCUAAGAUCAAGUGUAGUAUCUGUUCUUAUCAGUUUAAUAUCUGAUAUGUGGGUCAUUGGCCCACACGAUAUUAAAUUACUUUUUUAAAGGGGAGGGGCCAUGACAAUAGCUUGCUAUUGGGUCUCUCAGGUAUCGCCCAUGUGUUGCACUACUACAUGGGCUGGUGCACCCUAU